CAGUCGCCGCGGUAAAACGUAGGGUGCGAGCGUUAAUCGGAAUUACUGGGCGUAAAGGGCUCGCAGGCGGUUUCUUAAGUCUGAUGUGAAAGCCCCCGGCUCAACCGGGGAGGGUCAUUGGAAACUGGGAAACUUGAGUGCAGAAGAGGAGAGUGGAAUUCCACGUGUAGCGGUGAAAUGCGUAGAGAUGUGGAGGAACACCAGUGGCGAAGGCGACUCUCUGGUCUGUAACUGACGCUGAGGAGCGAAAGCGUGGGGAGCGAACAGGAUUAGAUACCCCCGUAGUCCCUGUCUCUUAUAC
rnacentral:rRNA from 1 species